rnacentral:rRNA from 2 species
GAACGAUGAAGCCCUUCGGGGUGGAUUAGUGGCGAACGGGUGAGUAACACGUGGGCAAUCUGCCCUUCACUCUGGGACAAGCCCUGGAAACGGGGUCUAAUACCGGAUAAUACUUUCUCCCUCCUGGGAGAAGGUUGAAAGCUCCGGCGGUGAAGGAUGAGCCCGCGGCCUAUCAGCUAGUUGGUGGGGUAAUGGCCUACCAAGGCGACGACGGGUAGCCGGCCUGAGAGGGCGACCGGCCACACUGGGACUGAGACACGGCCCAGACUCCUACGGGAGGCAGCAGUGGGGAAUAUUGCACAAUGGGCGAAAGCCUGAUGCAGCGACGCCGCGUGAGGGAUGACGGCCUUCGGGUUGUAAACCUCUUUCAGCAGGGAAGAAGCGAAAGUGACGGUACCUGCAGAAGAAGCGCCGGCUAACUACGUGCCACCAGCCGCGGUAAUACGUAGGGCGCAAGCGUUGUCCGGAAUUAUUGGGCGU